rnacentral:rRNA from 1 species
AUUGAACGCUGGCGGCAGGCUUAACACAUGCAAGUCGAGCGGAGUGAUGGUGCUUGCACUAUCACUUAGCGGCGGACGGGUGAGUAAUGCUUAGGAAUCUGCCUAUUAGUGGGGGACAACAUCUCGAAAGGGAUGCUAAUACCGCAUACGUCCUACGGGAGAAAGCAGGGGAUCACUUGUGACCUUGCGCUAAUAGAUGAGCCUAAGUCGGAUUAGCUAGUUGGUGGGGUAAAGGCCUACCAAGGCGACGAUCUGUAGCGGGUCUGAGAGGAUGAUCCGCCACACUGGGACUGAGACACGGCCCAGACUCCUACGGGAGGCAGCAGUGGGGAAUAUUGGACAAUGGGGGGAACCUUGAUCCAGCCAUGCCGCGUGUGUGAAGAAGGCCUUAUGGUUGUAAAGCACUUUAAGUGAGGAGGAGGCUCUUUUGGUUAAUACCCAAGAUGAGUGGACGUUACUCGCAGAAUAAGCACCGGCUAACUCUGUGCCAGCCGCCGCCGUAA